rnacentral:rRNA from 1 species
UACGUACGGUCCGAACGUUAUUCGGAAUUACUGGGCUUAAAGGGUACGUAGGCGGCGCUGUUAGUCGGGUGUGAAAUCCCAGGGCUCAACCCUGGAACUGCGCCCGAUACUGCAGUGCUUGAGGGAGACAGAGGUAAGCGGAACUGAUGGUGGAGCGGUGAAAUGCGUUGAUAUCAUCAGGAACACCAGUGGCGAAAGCGGCUUACUGGGUCGCUUCUGACGCUGAGGUACGAAAGUGUGGGGAGCAAACAGG